AUGUCUAGUUGUUAUUUAAGCACUGCCACUUACGUGGCACCUAACAGUAUUUGACUGCAUGACAUUAAAAAAUAGAAGUACUUUCAUGCAGAACUCGGAGCUCUGUGAAUUUGGCUUGUCUCACUGCAGCAUCUUUGUGCAGCUCUUAUCUUUGGUGUGCAGGGUUUGGUCUGCAUGAGUUUGCAGAAAGGAAUGGUCGGCCCAGGGGGAUCAAACUUGUAGAAGCUGGCUGCUCUGUUGUAGUGGUAGCAAGAACAGGGUGAAGUGUGUAGAGCUGAGCACAGUACAGAUUUAGUCUGUUUGCUGGUUGCAAAUGGUUCUUCAUGUUUGGAUUGUUAAAAGGUGCUUGUACUAUUUGUCAGAGCUCGAUACGUAAAAGCCACAAGAAACACACACAGUCUGUGCCACUCAGAAGAGGUAAAGCAGGAUGGGAUGCUGGCAACCAAGAGAGGGGAAAAUGUUCCCUCUGCAGGAAGAAAUGUGCCUGUUGCACUCAGCUAAGGAACACUGUUAUUGUGCCCCACAAGUCUGCUGUGUGGGAGGGGACUUGCGGGGAUGGAGACACUGCUUAGCGGUGCAAAGGCACUUUCUCAUACCUCAAGCUGGCUGAGAUCCCUGUGUUAAAAAAGGCAAACCUGGCCUAGCAAACAUGAAUUCAUCUGGAUUGCCUGAUUCAGACAUGAGCUGGCAGCAUGACUGCACAGGGUGCGGUGAGGAGGCAAAGGUAGAUGGGUGUGGGUAACAGCUCAGCAUAGUGAGCAGCGUGCUGACCAGCUGCUCCCUGGCACCAUUGGCUCCAGGGACUGCUGAGAGCUUCAGCAAAUCCCUAAAGGAAGUCAAGUCAUGUGAGGGUGCUGGAUAAUCCUGCUAUAUAUGUUCCUAUCCUGGACGGUCUGUCUUCGCAGGCUCACACUAUGGCCUGAUGGUUGCUUCAGCUGGUGCUGCAGGUUUCAGCUGUAAGGGCUGCUUUGAGAAUUUCAACAUAAGGCUGAAUCCUGCUCUGCGUGGCUGUAGAAUGACAAACUGAGGAUAAUUUUUUCUUUUGGUACCCAGAAUGUGGUGCUGUCUGUUUUAUUUGAAUGAAUUCUGAAAAUGUUCCAGUAUGCCGUCUAUAGACUAAUGAGAGUGUCCGUAGCACUGCUUGGCUGGGACUAUUUGAGGAAAGACCGGGGUCACUGGGCCAAGCACAGUGACAUGUGUUGGCUAACUAGCCAGCUUGCAGAAAAACUGCUUUGUUUGAUGAGGAACAUCACGGUACUAGCUCUAUUUUUGAGAAUGAGGACUCAGAGUUGCUGAGCUUGUUUGGAUCUCUUCCCUGCUUGGUUCUC